rnacentral:rRNA from 1 species
ACCGGCAGCUCUAGUGGUAGCUGUUUUUAUUGGGCCUAAAGCGUUCGUAGCCGGUUUAAUAAGUCUCUGGUGAAAUCCUAUAGCUUAACUAUGGGACUUGCUGGAGAUACUAUUAGACUCGAGAUCGGGAGAGGUCAGAGGUACUCCCAGGGUAGGGGUGAAAUCCUGUAAUCCUGGGAGGACCGCCUGUGGCGAAGGCGUCUGACUGGAACGAAUCUGACGGUGAGGAACGAAAGCUAGGGGCGCGAACCG